GGGCUCGCGUACCAUUAGCUUGUAGGUAGGGUAACGGCUUACCAAAGCUACGAUGGUUAGCUGGUUUGAGAGGAUGAUCAGCCACACUGGAACUGAAACACGGUCCAGACUCCUACGGGAGGCAGCAGUGAGGAAUUUUGCGCAAUGGGGGAAACCCUGACGCAGCAACGCCGCGUGAGUGAAGAAGGCCUUCGGGUCGUAAAGCUCUGUCAAGUGGGAAAUGAUGGUACCACUGGAGGAAGCACCGGCUAACUCCGUGCCAGCAGCCGCGGUAAUACGGAGGGUGCAAGCGUUGUUCGGAAUUAUUGGGCGUAAAGAGCGUGUAGGCGGUUUGGUAAGUCAGAUGUGAAAGCCCUGGGCUCAACCCAGGAAGUGCAUUUGAUACUGCCUCACUAGAGUAUGGGAGAGGAGAGUGGAAUUCCCAGUGUAGAGGUGAAAUUGUAGAU
rnacentral:rRNA from 1 species